GACGAACGCUGGCGGCGUGCUUAACACAUGCAAGUCGAACGGAAAGGCCCUGCUUUUGUGGGGUGCUCGAGUGGCGAACGGGUGAGUAACACGUGAGUAACCUGCCCUUGACUUUGGGAUAACUUCAGGAAACUGGGGCUAAUACCGGAUAGGAGCUCCUGCUGCAUGGUGGGGGUUGGAAAGUUUCGGCGGUUGGGGAUGGACUCGCGGCUUAUCAGCUUGUUGGUGGGGUAGUGGCUUACCAAGGCUUUGACGGGUAGCCGGCCUGAGAGGGUGACCGGCAACAUGGGGACUGAGAUACGGACCAGACGCGUACGGGAGGCAGCAGGGGGGAGUAUUGCACAAUGGGCGGAAGCCUGAUGCAGCAACGCCGCGUGCGGGAUAACGGCCUUCGGGUUGUAAACAACUUUCGCCUGUAACGAAGCGUGAGUGACGGUAAUGGAUAAAGAAGCACCGGCUAACUACGUG
rnacentral:rRNA from 1 species